rnacentral:rRNA from 1 species
UACAGAGGUCGCAAGCGUUGUUCGGAUUCAUUGGGCGUAAAGGGUGCGUAGGCGGCUGGGUAAGUCUGGUGUGAAAUCUCGGAGCUCAACUCCGAAAUUGCACUGGAUACUGCUCUGCUAGAGGGCUGGAGAGGAGAUCGGAAUUCACGGUGUAGCAGUGAAAUGCGUAGAUAUCGUGAGGAAGACCAGUGGCGAAGGCGGAUCUCUGGACAGCUCCUGACGCUGAGGCGCGAAGGCUAGGGGAGCAAACGGG